GGGGAUUUGGCUCAGUGGUAGAGCGCUUGCCUAGGAAGCGCAAGGCCCUGGGUUCAGUUCCCAGCUCCG
rnacentral:tRNA from 1 species